CCUACGGGAGGCAGCAGUAAGGAAUAUUGGUCAAUGGGCGCAAGCCUGAACCAGCCAUGCCGCGUGCAGGAAGACGGCCCUAUGGGUUGUAAACUGCUUUUGAACAAGAGAAAACCUCGGUACGUGUACCGAGCUGAUAGUAUUGUUAGAAUAAGCAUCGGCUAACUUCGUGCCAGCAGCCGCGGUAAGACGAAGGAUGCAAGCGUUAUCCGGAUUCAUUGGGUUUAAAGGGUGCGUAGGCGGCCUGAUAAGUCAGUGGUGAAAUCUCUCAGCUUAACUGAGAAACUGCCAUUGAUACUGUCGGGCUUGAGUACAGAUGAUGUGGGCGGAAUAUGACAUGUAGUGGUGAAAUACUUAGAUAUGUCAUAGAACACCGAUUGCGAAGGCAGCUCACAAAACUGUAACUGACGCUGAGGCACGAAAGUGCGGGGAUCAAACAGGAUUAGAUACCCUGGUAGUCCGCACCGUAAACGAUGAUUACUCGUUGUUGGCAAUAUGACCGUCAGCGACCAAGCGAAAGCGAUAAGUAAUCCACCUGGGGAGUACGCCGGCAACGGUGAAACUCAAAGGAAUUGACGG
rnacentral:rRNA from 1 species